rnacentral:rRNA from 1 species
UAACAAGGAUUCCCCUAGUAACUGCGAGUGAAGCGGGAAAAGCUCAAAUUUAAAAUCUGGCGGUCUUAUGGCCGUCCGAGUUGUAAUCUGGAGAAGUGUUUUCCGCGUCGGACCGUGUACAAGUCUCCUGGAACGGAGCGUCAUAGAGGGUGAGAAUCCCGUCCAUGACACGGACCGCCGAUGCUUUGUGAUACACUCUCGAAGAGUCGAGUUGUUUGGGAAUGCAGCUCAAAAUGGGUGGUAAAUUCCAUCUAAAGCUAAAUAUUGGCGAGAGACCGAUAGCGAACAAGUACCGUGAGGGAAAGAUGAAAAGCACUUUGGAAAGAGAGUUAAACAGUACGUGAAAUUGUUGAAAGGGAAACGCUUGAAGUCAGUCGCGUCUUUCAGAACUCAGCCUUGCUUCGGCCUGGUGUACUUUCUGUUAGACGGGUCAACGUCAAUUUCGAUCGGCGGAGAAAGGUUGAGGGAAUGUAGCGUUGUUUCGGCGACAUGUUAUAGCCCUCUUCUGUAUACGUCGGCUGGGAUUGAGGACCGCAGCGCGCCUUUAAUGGCCAGGGGUUCGCCCCAUGUACCGCGCUUAGGAUGUUGGCAUAAUGGCUUUAAGCGACCCGUCUUGAAACACGGACCAAGGAGUCUAACAUGCUUGCGAGUAUUCGGGUGGAAAACCCUUGUGCGUAAUGAAAGUAAAAGUUGGGAGCCUCCGCGAGGGGGUGCACCGACGCCCGGCCCUGACGUUCUCUGACGGUGCUGCGGUAGAGCAAGUAUGUUGGGACCCGAAAGAUGGUGAACUAUGCCUGAAUAGGGCGAAGCCAGAGGAAACUCUGGUGGAGGCUCGUAGCGAUUCUGACGUGCAAAUCGAUCGUCAAAUUUGGG